rnacentral:rRNA from 1 species
GAUGAACGCUGGCGGCGUGCCUAAUACAUGCAAGUCGAGCGAACAGACGAGGAGCUUGCUCCUCUGACGUUAGCGGCGGACGGGUGAGUAACACGUGGAUAACCUACCUAUAAGACUGGGAUAACUUCGGGAAACCGGAGCUAAUACCGGAUAAUAUAUUGAACCGCAUGGUUCAAUAGUGAAAGACGGUUUUGCUGUCACUUAUAGAUGGAUCCGCGCCGCAUUAGCUAGUUGGUAAGGUAACGGCUUACCAAGGCAACGAUGCGUAGCCGACCUGAGAGGGUGAUCGACCACACUGGAACUGAGACACGGUCCAGACUCCUACGGGAGGCAGCAGUAGGGAAUCUUCCGCAAUGGGCGAAAGCUUGACGGAGCAACGCCGCGUGAGUGAUGAAGGUCUUCGGAUCGUAAAACUCUGUUAUUAGGGAAGAACAAAUGUGUAAGUAACUAUGCACGUCUUGACGGUACCUAAUCAGAAAGCCAUGGCUAACUACGUG